rnacentral:rRNA from 1 species
GGCUCUUUGAAUAACUAUAAAGAGUCAGACCUGCCCCAUGAUUUAACAAAUAUUAAAUGGCCGCGGUACACUGACCGUGCAAAGGUAGCAUAAUCAUUUGCCUUUUAAAUGGAGGCUGGUAUGAAUGGUCAGACGGGGAGUUAACUGUCUCUGCAGAACAAAAAGAAUUUAAAAUUUAGGUUAAAAUGCCUAGAUAAAAUUGAAAGACGAGAAGACCCUAACGAGCUUGAAUUUUAACACUAAAUUUUUUAAAUAGCUGUUAAACUUUAGUUGGGGUGACUGAGGAAACAGGAGCUUCCUUUUUGAGGAAAAAAUAAUGGUUGAGGAUCCAGCGCGUUGUGCUGAAAAACAGGGGAGCUACCGUAGGGAUAACAGCGUAAUCCUUUUAGAGAGUUCCCAUCGAAGAAAGGGUUUGCGACCUCGAUGUUGGACUAGGAUAUCCUAGAGGUGUAGAAGCUUUUGAGGGUUGGUCUGUUCGACCAAUAAAAUCCU